GGGAUUUUGUCUCUGAGCCCUGUGCGGUGAAGGACUUAGCUAACUCUGUGAACAGAUCUUUGAAUGCCUUCAUGUUCACAGUGGCUAAGUUCCGCACCUCAGGGGGUCAAACGCAAGAGGAUUUC
rnacentral:pre_miRNA from 17 species